UGUUACUUAUAAUAAAAAUAUUUUGGACUAGUAAUAAUUAUGAAAUUUAACGGAUUUGGCGGCAAGAUAGCCUAUUAGAGGAACCUGCCCUGUAAACGAUGAACCACGAAUACCUUACUUCUAUUAGAAACCAGUUUGUAUACCGCUGUUGUCAGUUAGUCUCUCUAGAAAUCUUUCAUGUAUGAUAUUGUCAUCGACUUCAAGUAAAGGUGCAGCUUAUAUAGAAGAUAGAGGUGGGUUACAUUUAUAAGAAUAUUCGGAUAAUAUUGUGAAAUCAGUAUUUGAAGCUGGAUUUAAUAGUAAGAUCUAUUAUGAUCUGACAAGAGCUCUGUCUUGU
rnacentral:rRNA from 1 species